AACAACAAAAACCAGCAGUCCAGCCACAGCUACCAUAACCGCCACAACCACACACACACCACAACCUGCAAAGCACAAGUUCAACCACUGAACCACCACAACCACCACUGAAUCUCUGCACCACAACCGCCACAGCAACAGCUACAACCGUGAUCAACAACAUCAUCAACAACAACGAUAUCAACAACAACAACAACCAGCACCGUGAACCACCACGGCCACCAUAACCGCCACAACCACCACACACCACAACCUGCAAACCACAACAAACCACUGAACCACCAGGACCACCAUAAUCUCUGCACCACAACCACCGCAGCAACAGCAACACCGUGAGCAACAGCAACAUCAUCAACAACAACCAGCACAACCACCACGGCCACCAUAAGCGCCACAACCACCACACACCACAACCUGCAAACCACAACAAACCACUGAACCACCAGGACCACCAGAAUCUCUGCACCACAACCACCACAGCAACAGCAACACCAUAAUGAAGUCAAAAGGGACAACAGUGAGUCAUAUCCGCGACGGGAGAAGGUUUUGCCGAAGGAGAAAAAUGAUGAGCAAGACCCGUAGACGUAUCAAGGAAUCAGCCGUCGUUUCGGACUUAUACCAGACAUGGAAUCGACGGUACACCGCAUUCUAAUGUCCAUUUGAAAUUUCUUAGAAUUAGUUUGGAAUUUAAGUUUCAUUUUGUUCCUAUUUUCGGUUCCGUUUUUGCUUCGUUCCUUUUAACCUUUUUUCCAAGUUUGAGUUAAUCACGAAUAUUAAUGAUUCAAAUUUUGUGGUUUCAAUUUCAUUAUUUUUGGGCAAUUCCACGGAGAAGCGGAUACGGCUGAAAAGUGGAUAAUUUAUUAAAUCUUUGGAACUGCAAGCAUCACAAUCUCGAAUGUGUUAUCAAAUACAAGGAGACAAAAAAAUACCUUUCGUUUACGUUAUUUGCCAGUGAGAUUUAAAAUGAUUACCCAUGUUUUUGGUAAAAAACAAACAUUGUUAUUGGCUUUUAGUUUGAGCAAAAUUACGGAUUUUUGGCAGCUUGUAUUAACAUGCAGCACACAUGUGUUAUUGUGAUUUUUUUUUAAGGCAGAGUAAAGGUUCUUAUUGUUUGCCAAAAGAGCUAUUUUGUUUAAUAAAUGUUACUUAUUAUGUUUUUACUUAAAUCAAAGAUGGGCGGACAAACCGUAACGUAUAACGAGCUGUGCCGUAACCACUGUAAUUACAGAAAUACUAUAUUUUAUUUCAGAUGUAUCCCAUAGGAAGCUUUCUAUUCAAAGACAUGCAUUUUUUAUCCCUGUCUUUUUCUGUAACGUAACUCACCAAGUUACAUGUCUCAUUACAACUCACCAAACUUGCUCCGCAUGGCUGUGUUAUAAGUCCUGGUGAGAUGUAUUCAUGGUAGGCAUACAUGUUGACAUAGGAGCCUAAAGAGCGUUGCUUCAUCUCUUAAACUAACGAAACUCACCGUGGAAUUGACCAUCUUGUUCCUAUUUUCAUUUUCGUUUUUGUUCCUUUAAGCUUCUUUGUUCCAAAUUCGAGUUAACCAAGAAUAUUUACUAAUUUGAAUUCUGAAGAAAUGACGCCCACAAAUAUGGGAAAGAUGGUACAAUAAAGGACAUGUCUUUACCAAAGCCCAUCUUAGGAAAAGAGUUUGCACUGAACGGAACCCUUUGUUAUAUAACCAUCGGGCUGUCAAAACAAGAAUCAAGUCAAGUAUAACAGUAAUGCUCUAUAAUCCUCUGUUCCCAAACCUCGCUCCGAAUCAGCCAAUAAUAUAAACAUCUGGGGAGACUAUUAAGAAAUGCUAGAAUUGAAUACAAAAAUAUAUUCCGUCUUUUCGAAAUUGAUAAAGUCAUGAAAAUAAUUCCAUCCAAAAAUAAGAUUAAACAACAGAUAAUACCGAUCCUUUUAUGAGAAAAACAUAGUUUAAGUUCUGGACUAAAAUAUGCACUUAGAUAUGGCCUAUAUCAUUAUGUCAAAAGCUUCAACUAUAAAAGACAGCCGUUUAUAGCGAAACAAAUAAACUGUAAACUGCAAAAACUGCAGUGUUAAAUUUACACUAUUGGUAUCUAUAUAGGACCAUCUGGUGUUAAAUCUUACUGGUGUUGUCCUAUAUAGAUACCGAAUGGUGUUAAAUUAACACUACAGUUUUUUUAGUGUACACCGUCUGAGGGUCUUGUUGAACAUUGGCAAUCUUAGACAUGUGCGACCGAUGUAUGGUUCAGUCGUGUCAUAACUCACAGCCUUAUUCUUGAAUAAGCGAUCUCCCCGGGGUAAAAUCUAUGACACCUAAUGUUUUUUGUUUUUUUUAAUUGGUUCACAAAAUAAUGCCUUGCUGCACAAAUUGCAAUUGAUUCCCUGGUCGUUUAGAGGCAAAACAAACGUGAGGGAUUCCAUAAUUCCAGCCCAAAAUACCGUUAGAAAUAACAUCACAACAUCGUAGAAGAGCUUGAACUGAGCAGCGAUUUGGAUAAACUAAAAAAAUCCGAAAAGCAAAGCUCAUAAAGAAAUACAAGGACACGGUUUGCGACGUAUUUCCCCUUUAUUUCAGGCAAGUUUAUGUUCAUAAUUUGUUGUUGUUUUCGUUUCGUUUUCUCCAUUAUGAAAGAAAUUCUCUAAUUUUUUUCCUUUGGUAAAAUA